rnacentral:lncRNA from 1 species
UAGGGGUCAAAUUGGAAAUACAGCUGCCGGCCUAUUCCACAGCCACAGCAACACAGGAUCCGAGCUGCAUCUGCAACCUACACCACAACUCACAGCAAUGCAGGAUCUUUAACCCACUGAGUGAGGCCAGGGAUCGAAUCUGCAAUCUCAUGUUUCCUAGUCGGAUUUGUUUCUGCUGAGCCACAGCAGGAACUCCUAAUGUUCUUUUUAUUGAAGAUCUGUUUGUUUCUAUGUUGGAAAUCUUCCACUAUUUAAAAAAUGUUUUAUCCUGAAUGCAGUGAGGUAUCCUGGAUUGGAUCCAAGAAGAGAAAAAAGACAUUAGUGGAAAAACUGGUGAAAUUCAAAUAAAAUCCGAAAUUUAGUAAAUAGUAAUAUACUGAUGUGGGUUUUGUAGUUCUGACAAAUGUACAAUGGUAACAUUAGGGGAAACUGGUUAAAGGGACUCUGUGCAUCAUCCUAGCAACUUUUUCAAAAAUAUAAAAUUAUUACCAAAUGAAAUGUUUAUUUUAAGAAGCGGGGGUGGAUUUUAGAGUAUAUUAGAAUACUCCUUGAGGGCAAGACCAGUGUCUGCAAAAUCUGAUUUGUUUCCAUGUCAUGUUUGAUAGUCCCCUAAGGUUUGGAGAUCUUAGAGUGGGAAAGGGGCCUGACAGAGCACCCUAUCCAGCCCCUUUCCUCUGGGAGGUAAGGCAGGGGAGUUAUUUGAGAAUAACUCUCCAACCAGAGAGGCUGAGGAACUCAGUGAGCAAGGAGGACUGGAACCCAGAAGUUUUGUCUCCUAGGAUAACCUUUGUUUUUACUUUAUCACUUCUCAUCACAGAGACAAAAUGAGUUGAACAGCCUCCCUUAAUUGUCUGUUUUGAAAAUCAGAGGGAAAGAAUUGUGUAUCACCCCUAAGUUAUUUAGGUGACCACAGACACUGAAGCUAGAGAAGUCAAGGUGAGGUUGGGUUGUCUCUUUGUUAUGAACCUUCUUAGGGUUGGAGACUGUCUAGGCUAAGAGGGCAGAAUGGGCUGGUGUGGGUGGGAACUAAGAGUUCUGCCUGUCUAAGAAUAAGUAGAAUCCUUAUCAAAACCCCCUGGAUGGAUAGAAAUGCCAACAACUUACAGAUGAGUUAACAGACUUAGAAAGGUUAAAUGAUUUCCCUAGGUCCUAAAACUAGUAAGAGGUAGGCCUAUUGUGAUAUAGUAAAUUUUUCAUGUUUCCUGGAAAUGGCUCUUAAAAAUUAUGUAAUUUCUUAAGUGAUAAGAGCAUUAUCAAAAUCCUUUGUUCCUCACUUCGUAAAUAGCUUUAGAGGAGUUCCCAUUGUGGCUCAGUGGGUUAAGAACCCGACAUAGUGUCUGUGAGGAUACAGGUUUGAUCCCUGGCCUCACUCAGAGGAUUAAGGAUAUGGCAUUGCUGCAAGCUGCAGCAUAGGUCAUAGAUGUGGCUCAGAUCUGGUGUUGCCGUGGCUGUGGGGUAGGCCUCGGCUGAAGCUCUCAUUUGACCCCUAGCCCGGGAACUUCUGCAUGCUGCAGGUGCAGCCCUAAAAGGGAAUAAAAAAUAGCAUAGCUCUGGAGUGUACAAAUGAAAUGGGUGUUUUUUGUUGUUCAUAACAAACCCUUUUCAAUCAUCUGAAUUUAUAUUAAUAAAGUGAUUUUUGGAAAGCCCCUAUAAAACCAUAGGAAGGGAGUUGGUUGCCAUAGAAAGUUGGAACUGGGAGGGGAGAAGUGCUGGAUAUUGACUUAAUCACUGAUGUUCAAUGAUGUAAUCAGUCAUGCCUAUGACAGGAAGCUUCCAUUACCCCCUCCCCAAAGUAUGGUAUUUGGAAAGCUUCUGAGUGGGUGAACAAGAAUACAUCCACAUGCGAGGAGGGUGGUAUACCCCAGACUCCACGAGACAGAAGUUCCUAUGAUUAAGAUUCUUCCAGCCCUCAGUCCACGUAGCUCUUCAUCUGGCUAUUCUUAUGUGUUUAAUAUUCAUUGCAAUAUAUCAUUAAUCUAGUAAGUAAAAUGUUUUCUUGAGUACUGUAAGCUGUCCUAGCAAAUGAUCAAACUCUGGGAGAGGGUUGUGGGAACAUAUGAUUUAGAGCCAGUCAGUUAGAAGUACAGAUAACAACCUGGACUGGAAAUUGGCAUCUGAAGUGGGGAUAGUCUGUGAGAGCUGAUAUUAUCUCCGGGCAGAUAGUGUCAGAAUUAAGUUUUUGAACACACAGCUGGUGGCAUAGAGAAUUGCUUGGUGAGGGGUAAUCCUAUACACGUUUGGUGACCAGAGGUGAAUUAGAAUGUCAUCACAGAGUAGAGAAAAAGGAGAAUUUUCCCUGUACACCUCUGUUAUAGGAAACCGGGGCUGACUCUAAGAACUUACAAUUAAGGAAGAGCCCUCUGAAGUCAGGGAGGACAAAUUCCGCAGAGCUGACUGCCACUCUCAGAACAGCUGGGGUUGGAAAUGAUGUAGGACGUGAGCCAAGUCAGAACAACAGCCUCGAUCAGGCUCAGAAGAGCUUCAGGGGAGUGGGUAUCAGGCCUGCCAGGGCUACAAGCCACUGCAGAUUCUUCCCUCUGGAAAAGAAAAAGGCAUGUGGGUAAGGUCCCUGCCCUCCCACCCAUCCUUCCUCUGUCCCAUCCCAGCUGCCGGGCCUGUGUCUGCUAGCCUUCCAAGAGUGGCCUCCUAAAACCAAGGGCCGCAUUUUGUUUAGUUGUUGUAGAAUAGGCUCAUGUGACUGAAGAGGACUCCUUGGGGCUUGAUUGAGAUAAUGUGGGUGAAAGUAAACUAUAAACCUCUGUGUAAAUGUGGUUGUUGGCUGAACAGUGUAAACCUGGGAGGUUUGUGAGGGCAGGGGGGGAAAAGUGCCUCUUGAGAGAGGUCUCGCAGGAGAAUAUGAGAUUAGUUGAGGUUCAGUGAAUUCCUUUGUUGCUAACUCAAGAAGCAUAUUUGAAGGGAUAAGCUUCCUCACUUAGAGCAGAGCAUCCCAGACUUGUCGCCAUAGUGACAAUGCUCAAACAGAGGCUUAAAAACCAGAAAACACCAGGCCACAGGGAUUCUUUUGGAGCCGCGGUUCUCUAGUAGAGGACUCAGCUAUUGUGUGCUAUGGAGGAGAGGGGCAGGGGGGUUGAAUAGCAUCCCUUCCUUCCUGUCUCUUGCUGUGGGUCUUUUGUUUUAGUUUUUCUCUCCGAAUUGAUGUGUUCUUUGGAAAGGAGUGGCUCCCAGCAGAAGGAACUAGUCUUCAUUAAAACCUGUAUCAGAAGCUGGAGGCACCAACAACGAACUGUCCUAAAAAGAAAUUAAGAAAACAAUCCCAUUUACUAUAGCAUCAGAAAGAAUAAAAUACUUCUGCAUAAAUUUAACCAAGGAGCUGAAAGACCUAUACUGAAAACUGUAAGACACUGAUGAAAGAAAUCGAAGAAAACACUAGUAAAUUGAAAGAUAGCCCGUGUUCAUGGACUGAAAGAAUUAAUAUUGUUAAAACGUCCAUACUACUUAAAGUGAUCUACAGAUUCAGUGCAAUCCCUAUCAAAAUUCCAAUGGCAUUUUUCAUAGAAAUAGAGCAAAUAAUCCUAAAGUUUGUACGGAACCACAAGAGACUCUGAAUAGCCAAAGCACUCUUCAGAAAGAAGAACAAAGCUGUAGGCAUCACAUUUCCUGGAUUCAAGUUAUAUUACAAAGCUAUACGUAAUUGAAACAGUAUGGUACUGGCAUAAAAAUAGAAGCAUGAAUCAGUGGAACAGAAAAGAGAGCCCAGAAAUAAGCUCACAUAUAUAUGGUCAACUCAUCUUUGACAAGGGGUCCAAGAAUACACAAUGGAAAAAAAAGAGUCUCCUCAAUAAAUGAGUUCCCGUUGUGGCUCAGCAGUUAACGGACCCCACCAGGAUCCAUGAGGAUGUGGGUUCAAUACCUGGCUUUGCUCAGUUAGUUAAGGAUCUGGCGUUGCCGUAAGCUGUGGUGUAGGUUGCAGAUGAGACUUGGAUCUGGUGUUGCUACAGCUGUGGCAUAAGCUGGCAACUGUAGCUCCAAUUAGACCCCUAGCCUGGGAACCUCCAUAUGCUGCAAGUGCAGCC